rnacentral:rRNA from 1 species
AUUGAACGCUGGCGGCAGGCCUAACACAUGCAAGUCGAACGAGUGGCGGACGGGUGAGUAAUGUCUGGGAAACUGCCUGCUGGAGGGGGAUAACUACUGGAAACGGUAGCUAAUACCGCAUAACAUCAGAUGUGUCCAGAAGGGAUUAGCUUGUUGGUGGGGUAAAGGCGCACGAAGGCGAGCAUCACUAGCUGGUCUGAGAGGAUGACCAGCCACACUGGAACUGAGACACGGUCGAAACUCUGACGUGAGGCAGCAGUGGGGAAUAUUGCACAAGGGGCGCAAGCCUAAUACAGCCAUGCCGCGGUUAUGAAGAAGGCCUUCGGGUUGUAAAGUACUUUCAGCGGUGAGGCGUUACCCGCAGAAGAAGCACCGGCUAACUCCGUGCCAGCAGCCGCGGUAAUAC